CACGAAAUUUCGUUGGCGGCUUCCUCGCCUGGCUAUUGUCUGAAUCUUCGUUGCUACACUUGAGAGCGUGGAAUUUGAGGAAAUCAUGGAAGCUCCUAUGAGCCAACGUGGAAUUCAGCAUUUGCUGUCUGCAGAGCAAGAAGCUCAACACAUUGUCAAUGAUGCUAGAAAUGCAAAAAUGGCCAGACUAAAACAAGCCAAAGAAGAAGCUGAUAGAACGAUUGCUGAAUAUCAAGUCCAAGUGGAGCAUGAAUUUCAGAGGAAAGUAGAAGGGACUAGUGGAGAUUCAAGUUCUAACGUUCAGCGGCUUGAAAAAGAGACAGAGGCAAGAAUUAGUCACUUGAAGCAUGAGUCUGCUAGAAUAUCUCAUGACAUUAUCAACAUGCUCCUGAAGCAUGUCACAACUGUGAAAAACUAAGCCUGUCGGUGGCUUGGUAGCAAGGUGGACUUGCAAGUGCUCAAAUAAUCUGUUUAUUUUAGCUUGUUUCUCACCAUACCUUGGACUUCUAUGCUUUACAAGCUCACUGUGUCCUUUGUACUAGGGAAUAAUGAUAAUAGAAAUUGUGGCCGUCUCUUGUUGGUCCAAUUGAUUUAUCGAGACUUUCUUCUUUGGGUCCAAUUGUUAUUUAAGUUGUUCUUUGGCUGG
rnacentral:misc_RNA from 1 species